AUUGAACGCUGGCGGCAGGCCUAACACAUGCAAGUCGAGCGGAUGAGAGGGGCUUGCUCCUUGAUUCAGCGGCGGACGGGUGAGUAAUGCCUAGGAAUCUGCCUGGUAGUGGGGGACAACAGUUGGAAACGACUGCUAAUACCGCAUACGUCCUACGGGAGAAAGCAGGGGACCUUCGGGCCUUGCGCUAUCAGAUGAGCCUAGGUCGGAUUAGCUAGUUGGUGAGGUAAAGGCUGACCAAGGCGACGAUCCGUAACUGGGCUGAGAGGAUGAUCAGUCACACUGGAACUGAGACACGGUCCAGACUCCUACGGGAGGCAGCAGUGGGGAAUAUUGGACAAUGGGCGAAAGCCUGAUCCAGCCAUGCCGCGUGUGUGAAGAAGGUCUUCGGAUUGUAAAGCACUUUAAGUUGGGAGGAAGGGCAGUAAGUUAAUACCUUGCUGUUUUGACGUUACCGACAGAAUAAGCACCGGCUAACUUCGUGCCAGCCGCCGCCGUAAGAC
rnacentral:rRNA from 1 species